rnacentral:rRNA from 1 species
UACGGAGGGUGCUAGCGUUGUUCGGAAUUACUGGGCGUAAAGGGCGCGUAGGCGGCCGUUUGCGUCGGAUGUGAAAGCCCGGGGCUCAACCUCGGAACGGCAUUCGAUACGGGACGGCUGGAGACCGGGAGAGGAGAGUGGAAUAGCCAGUGUAGAGGUGAAAUUCGUAGAUAUGUGGAGGAACACCGAUGGCGAAGGCAGCCCCCUGGGUUAACACUGACGCUCAUGCACGAAAGCGUGGGGAGCAAACAGG